AGAACCUGUGACUGCUCUAUCCUUCCAAGUUCUUCUGAGGAGAGAGAAUGAUUUAGGCAGGAAUUCAAUCAGGAUUUUCUUAUAGAGAGAUGAACUCCAAUUCAAUGUCUGCCUUACUAACUUCCCUUUUCUUUUAUCAUUUCACUCAGAUCAAUCUCAGUGAACAAGCUAAAGAAAACACAGAAGGAGCAUAGCUGCUUAAUGCCAUUUUCAGUAGUUUACAAAUAUCUCUUUAAGUGGUUUACAAAAAGAUGUCAAUUGAGUACCACCUUUUCCUACUGCCUUGGGAUUUGCUUUCUUUUAUGUAGCUUUUGUCUGGCUGGGGGAGAUGGGGAUUCUCCCUGAUGUUGGAUGAGAUUAGGCGCAGCAGAAAUCACCCUGGUUUAUUAAAUGGGAGACUUGAGAUCUAUUCCCUAAAUGAUCACUCUCCGGCCUUGUGGCAAGUCACCAGCCCUCUUGAGGCUUUGGUUUCCUUAUCUGAAAUGUAGUCACGAGAAACUAAGUCUUAGGGCUAUGUAAUUGUGCUUACUGACAAUGUAUUGCCUGCUUUGCAAUGUAUUGCUUGUGCCAGACACACAUUCUGCUAAACUCUUUUUAUUUAAAUCCUCAUGACAACCUGAUGAAAUGGUUAUUAUUAUUAUUUAUAAAACUCAAUUUUAUAGAUUAAGAAUUAGAGGAUCAGAGGAGUUAAAUAAUCACCCCAAGACAUAUAGUUAUCUGAAUGGAAUUCGCCCACUCCAACAUUGUUAUCACUGAGUUGUGGGAUUUACAGUUGAAACCACUGAGGUCAGAAUUUGGCCUCCACACAUAGUCAAGUACCAUAACCUCUCUAAGCCUCAGCU
rnacentral:lncRNA from 1 species